rnacentral:rRNA from 1 species
UACGGAGGGAGCUAGCGUUGUUCGGAAUUACUGGGCGUAAAGCGCACGUAGGCGGCUUUGUAAGUUAGAGGUGAAAGCCCGGAGCUCAACUCCGGAAUUGCCUUUAAGACUGCAUCGCUUGAAUCCGGGAGAGGUGAGUGGAAUUCCGAGUGUAGAGGUGAAAUUCGUAGAUAUUAGGAAGAACACCGGUGGCGAAGGCGGCCCACUGGCUCGACACUGACGCUGAGGUGCGAAAGCGUGGGGAGCAAACAGG